AUUGAACGCUGGCGGCAGGCCUAACACAUGCAAGUCGAGCGGAUGAAGGGAGCUUGCUCCUGGAUUCAGCGGCGGACGGGUGAGUAAUGCCUAGGAAUCUGCCUGGUAGUGGGGGAUAACGUCCGGAAACGGGCGCUAAUACCGCAUACGUCCUGGGGGGGAAAGUGGGGGAUCUUCGGACCUCACGCUAUCAGAUGAGCCUAGGUCGGAUUAGCUAGUUGGUGGGGUAAAGGCCUACCAAGGCGACGAUCCGUAACUGGUCUGAGAGGAUGAUCAGUCACACUGGAACUGAGACGCGGUCCAGACUCCUACGGGAGGCAGCAGUGGGGAAUAUUGGACAAUGGGCGAAAGCCUGAUCCAGCCAUGCCGCGUGUGUGAAGAAGGUCUUCGGAUUGUAAAGCACUUUAAGUUGGGAGGAAGGGCAGUAAGUUAAUACCUUGCUGUUUUGACGUUACCAACAGAACAAGCACCGGCUAACUUCGUG
rnacentral:rRNA from 1 species